AUUGAACGCUGGCGGCAGGCCUAACACAUGCAAGUCGAGCGGCAGCGGGAAAGUAGCUUGCUACUUUUGCCGGCGAGCGGCGGACGGGUGAGUAAUGCCUGGGAAAUUGCCCAGUCGAGGGGGAUAACAGUUGGAAACGACUGCUAAUACCGCAUACGCCCUACGGGGGAAAGCAGGGGACCUUCGGGCCUUGCGCGAUUGGAUAUGCCCGGGUGGGAUUAGCUAGUUGGUGAGGUAAUGGCUAACCAAGGCGACGAUCCCUAGCUGGUCUGAGAGGAUGAUCAGCCACACUGGAACUGAGACACGGUCCAGACUCCUACGGGAGGCAGCAGUGGGGAAUAUUGCACAAUGGGGGAAACCCUGAUGCAGCCAUGCCGCGUGUGUGAAGAAGGCCUUCGGGUUGUAAAGCACUUUCAGCGAGGAGGAAAGGUUGGUGCCUAAUACGUAUCAACUGUGACGUUACUCGCAGAAGAAGCACCGGCUAACUCCGUGCCAGCAGCCGCCGUAAUAC
rnacentral:rRNA from 1 species